GACGAACGCUGGCGGCGUGCUUAACACAUGCAAGUCGAGCGAUUGAGCCUAGCUUGCUCGGUGAUUUAGUGGCGAACGGGUGAGUAAUACGUGGGUAACUUACUUUUAACUCUGGGUUAAGUCCGGGAAAGUGGGUUUAAUCCGCAAACCUACUAAUCGACAAGGGGGGGGUUGUUGGGAAGCGACGUUUGGUGGUUAUAGUUGGGCUCAUGGGUUAUCUGCUGGGGGGUGGGCUAACGGCGCACGCAGGCGACGACUGGUAUGCGGCCUGAGAGGGUGACCAGCCACCCGGGGCCUGAGAGACGGCCCAGACGGCAACGGGAGGCAGCAGUGGGGAAUAUUGCACAAUGGGCGCAAGCGUGUUGCAGCGACGCCGCGUGAGGGAUGACGGCCUUCUGGUGGUAAACCUCUGUAAGCGGGGAAGAAGCGGGAUUGACGGUACCUGCAGAGAAAGCGCCGGCUAACUACGUG
rnacentral:rRNA from 1 species